GGUUUCUCUGUGUAGCCUUGGCUGUCCUGGAACUCACUCUGUAGACCAGGCUGGCCUCGAGCUCACAGAAAUCCUCCUGCCUCUGCCUCCCAAGUGCUGAGACUAAAGGCGUGCGCCACCACUGCCUG
rnacentral:miRNA from 1 species